CGGUAAUACGGAGGGUGCAAGCGUUAAUCGGAAUUACUGGGCGUAAAGCGCACGCAGGCGGUCUGUCAAGUCGGAUGUGAAAUCCCCGGGCUUAACCUGGGAACUGCAUUCGAAACUGGCAGGCUAGAGUCUUGUAGAGGGGGGUAGAAUUCCAGGUGUAGCGGUGAAAUGCGUAGAGAUCUGGAGGAAUACCGGUGGCGAAGGCGGCCCCCUGGACAAAGACUGACGCUCAGGUGCGAAAGCGUGGGGAGCAAACAGGAUUA
rnacentral:rRNA from 1 species